GUGGCAAAGCCAAUGAAAGAAAAUAGAAGAAAAGAAAUCACAACUACAGUCCCAGGAAUAAAUAAUGAACACUUGGAGCUAGAGGGUGUGCCUGAACGUGUCAAGUAUGGAUGAGAGUCACAAAUACAGUCAAUGACAUUUGCAGUAAAAGAGGCAAAAUAAUUGGAUGUUUCACUGCAAGGAUUUUGAUAUUUCACUGGAAUUGUAGAUAUCUAAUAGAUUUGAAAUAUGGCUCCUUAAUAUCUCUAAUAUCUUAAUGUUUAGUUUUCUAAAAACUAUUAAUUGUCAACCAGCUUCUCAUUCCCUUGAAUUGAAGAUGAAUAACGACAAAGACUAUAAAACAUGGAGAGGUUUGGCUCGUUACUGACAAAGAGGGAAAAAAAAACCCAAUCAGCCUUGAAGAGAAGCAGAGACCAAGAGAAUAACUGAGUCAAGCUGUUUCUCCAAAAGAUGACUGUACUUGAUUCAAGAUGUCACUGAAAUGGAUACUAAGAAGCAUCAAUGGUCCAGGCCAUGGGUUUUCCCUUUGGUCACCCUUUCUUCGUGAGGCCAGUAAGAGUGGCCCUGAUCCUGAUGCCUAGGUCUGAGGCUGGGAGUCUUCAGUGUCCAUACAACCUCAUUUCCAAGAGCUGGUAUAGACUGAGCACCUACAGGACAUGGGAGGAUCACAGAGGGGCGCCUGCCAUCUGCAGCCCAGCCUGGGGCUCCAGUCUGCUUUAGUGAAAGGAAAGCUCUUGGACCAAGGCCAGAGGGAGACGGUGAGUCCAAGAGUGGGUUUUGGAUGAAUAUGCACACGUUGCUUUACGUGCAAUUGUCGACUGCUAUCAAACCAAUACUUUUCUGCCAAAUCAACGUCACUCACUGGAAGAGGACACCUAAGUGAACAACUUGGUGGGAGCAGACUUAACCUCCCAUCUGUAAAACAGAGAAUGAGGCCUACCUCAUGGAGUUGUGAAAAAUAAAUGGAAUAAAUAUG